AAUGAACGCUGGCGGCAGGCCUAACACAUGCAAGUCGAACGAGUGGCGGACGGGUGAGUAAUGUCUGGGAAACUGCCUGAUGGAGGGGGAUAACGACUGGAAACGGUAGCUAAUACCGCAUACCAUCAGAUGUGCCCAGAUGGGAUUAGCUUGUUGGUGGGGUAACGGCUCACCAAGGCGACGAUCCGUAGCUGGUCUGAGAGGAUGACCGGCAACACUGGAACUGGGACACGGUCCGGACUCCUACGGGAGGCGGCGGUGGGGAAUAUUGCACAUUGGGCGCAGGCCGGAUGCAGCCAUGCCGCGGGUAGAAAGAGGUCCUUCGGGUUGUAAAGUACUUUCAGCGGGGAGGCGUUACCCGCAGAAGAAGCACCGGCUAACUCCGUGCCAGCAGCCGCGGUAAUAC
rnacentral:rRNA from 1 species